CAGGAAGCUGCAUGGCCAAAUUCCUGCCACGCUUGCAGGGAUGACAGGAAUCCAUCCCAACAGCGAUGGAAACCAAACAAAGCCCUGCACAACCACCCCGGCAUCGACAUGGAAGUGUUUAUAACUGAGCUCCCAGAGUCCUGGUGUCCAGGAAAGCUGAGUGAUUGCAUCCUGACAUUCCUGCUGCCACGGGACAAACGGCAUGGCAGGGAACUGCCAGUGUGGAAUGAAAAGGGCCCACUCCAGCAGGAGCAAAGGAAGCAGGAGGAUUUCUCACCCCAUUGGAGCCCUGCUGCUCGUUAUCUCAGAAAAGAGCACCCAACUCCCCUAGGGAGAGGACAGGGUCUGAAUUGUGCUGCAUUUCCAAGAAUUCUUCCCUAAAGUCUUCAUCAGGAAAACUGUUCUCUGAAGCUUUUGGAUGUUCCUGCCAGAGGUGCUGCUUCACUGCCUCCCACGAGCACCAAAGGUGUUGGUGGAAUUGUUUUCUCUGCCUCCAGCUUUUACCCGAGAGUGUGGAAUGGUCUCCACUAGGAUUUCACCACAGGAGAAGCAUCCAGAUGAUUCUCCUGGUAUAAAAACCACCUCCAAGUGCUUUGGCAGGGAGAGGUGCCAGUUUUGUGUCCCUUGAAGCUGAGGAGAGUUCCCCAGCCAGCUUUGCUGUGCCCACCACGAGGCUUCAACAGCUGCAAGUGAGGAGGGAUCCCUGCAGCUCCCGUGCUCCUGAAAUCACACAGGGAAGGGGGACGGCUAUUUGCAAUGGAAAAGCAGCGGGAAGGAGGCUGGGGAAGGUGGCAGAUGCAGUGGGUUGUGCCAGACUUUCUCACAAGUCUCACUGUCUGAGAGGAGGAGCGCGGAGAUGGGAAACCGAGAGGGGAGCGAGCCCUGGGUGUGCCGGAACGUGCCGAGCUCCCCAGGACUGCCCUGCUCUGCCACGGGGCAGCUCUGGCAGCCAAAACCUCCUCUCUGCUGGACCUGAGGGGGCUGUGAGCAGGGCAGGGCUGCUGGGGCACAGGCCCUGCCUUCCCUGGGCUGCAGGAAGCGCAGGGAUGUUCGCAGCAGUGCCGGGCACGGUAUCAUCUGCUGGUUCCAUUUAACAACUUCUCACAACAUAUGCAGUUUACAUUACGCUAUCCUGCACAUGUAGGCUUUGGCUGGGAAUAUCCUCCAGAGCUGGGGAUUUAUGGCCAUGCAAAUGCUCGGGGAGGCAGGAGCAGGCCUGCCAAAGCAGGGGGAAGGAAAGGCUCCUUUGUUCCUGCUUCUGGGUCACGUUAACCCCAGCGCUGCCGAGCUGCGGCUCAGGGAGCGCCGCUGCUCCAGCCCCACGCCUCGCCCUUCCCACAGCAAUUCCUCAAACACCAGCAUCUCACACUCGUUUCCUUGGCUUCCGCGGGCAGCUGGAGCUGGGCCUCUGAGAAAAGAUCUGCUUUCAGCCAAGCUGUCUUUUCCUUUCUCUGCAGGCCUGGCAUGACAACAGGCCUGGCUCUGCCAUGGCUGCCCCAGCCCUGCAUCCCUGGGGAGCCUCUGGAGCUCCAGGAGUGCCCUCAGGGCAGCAGAGGAGCUGCUGUGGGCAGAACGGCACGGGAUAAGAGUUUGUACCUAGUGCCCCUCUCCUUCAUUCCAGGAAAAAAAAAAAACAAUGGGAGAAAAGUUCAGUGUGGCAUAGAAGAGGAUUGAAGAGAGUCUCUCUGUCCACCCUUUCGGCACAGAAUCAGGAUCAUGGCAUGGUUUGGAUUGGAAGGACCUUAAAGCUCCUCUCAUCCCAUGGCAGGGACAGGGCAGGGACACCUGCCCCUACCCCAGGCUGCUCCAAGCCCCUCCAGCCUGGCCUGGGACACUUCCAGGGAUCCAGGGGCAGCCACAGCUUCUCUGGGCAGCCUGUGCCAGGGCCUCACCCCUCACAGGGAGGAAUUCCUUCCAAUAUCCCAUCCAAACCCUCUGUCUGUCCGUGUGAAACCUUUCCCCCUUGUCCCGUCCCUCCCGUCCCUGCUGGCAGCUCCAGGCACGACCCAGCGAGGCUGAGCCGGGCUGGCCGGGGCGAUCAAACCUCAAUCCCGAGGUUCCUGUGGGUUCACUGUGAGGAUCAUUAUCCCCAGUGCCAGGUAAUUAAUUACCUGGGGCACAAUUACCUGAGCCCUGGCUCCCCAGCUGCCCUUGCCCAGCUGCUGCCCGGGGCCGGGGCAGUUCCAGCUCUGCCUUUUCCCAGACUCAGAGGCCUGGGAGCUUCCAGCUGCUCCAAACUGCGGUGCUAAGGAAGGGAAGCAAGUCUGUGCUCCUUGGGAAUGUUUGUUAUUGCAACAGGCAAAAAUGAAAUCUCGCAUUUGUGAGAAAAAUAUGGUUCAAAUUGUUCCUGUGUGGAUAGAAAUGACCCACAUUCCUACUUCUCUCUUAAUUUUUUAAUAAGCUGAUUCAUUCCCUGCAUGACAUCACUACAUGUUCAUACCUUUAUCAAAAACAUUAAUAAAAUAUUCACUUGUAUUUGUUUACCAAAAAUGCCUUUUAUGAAGAUGAAAUAUUUCUAAAAUCUGCUCAUUUAUGUUUUUCACCAAGCAAUAUAUUAAAAAAACAAAACACAAUUUGUGUUGGUGAAACUCAAAGAAUUUUUGACAGCAGCAACAACAACUUGUUCUGUGAAAAUCGCUUUUGAGGCGGAAAAAAAGCAAUUCUUUCAGACGCCACCAUUUAAUAUUAUCUAUUUUUUAAAACAGUCUUUUCUGUGUGUGCUCCUCGCUGAACGCUGCGUCCUUGGUGCCACCUGAGGCAUCGGAGCACAGCAAGAAGGGAAGGCAAAGUUUUGCUACACAAACUGCAACUGCUUGUGGUGUGUUAUUCACAUAAUUAUAAAUAAAUAUAUUUAUUAAUAUAAAUAAAUAUAUUUAUAAAUGUAAGCAAAAAAUUGCA